rnacentral:tRNA from 1 species
UGGCUUAGUGGUUAAGAGUUUGGCUGUUAACCAAAAGGUUAGCAGUUCGAAUUCUCUA